CUGACCAACCUCACCUCACUCUGACCACAGCUUACUCCAUAUCCAAUCAGGUGUAUGUGAUUGGAUGUCAUGUUGUGUGCAUGUGUGUACAUAUUCGUGUGUGCAUAUGUGUAUGAAUGUGUGCAUGUGUGUACAUAUUGUGUGUGCAUGUGUGCAUGCAUGUCACAUGUGCAUGUGUGUACAUAUUGUGUGUAUGCAUGUCAUGUGUGCAUGUGUACAUACUGUGUCUUCGCAUUUGUGUGUAUGCAUGUCAUGUGUGCAUGUGUGUACAUAUUGUGUGUGCAUUUGUGUAUGCAUGUCAUGUGUGCAUGUGUGUACAUAUUGUGAUAUUGUGUUUGUGCAUGUGUAUAUGCAUGUCAUGUAUGCAUGUAUGUACAUAUUGUGUGUGCAUGUCAUGUAUUCAUGCAUGUACAUAUUGUGUGCAUGUGUGUGCAUGUCAUGUGUACAUGUGUACAUAUUGUGUGCAUGUGUGUGCGUGUGUGCAUGUCAUGGUGUGCAUGAGUGUACAUGCUGUGUGCGUUUUUGUGCAUGUGUACAUGCAUGCCAUGUGUGCAUGUACAUAGUGUGUGCAUGUCAUGUGUUCAUGUAUGUGCAUCAUGUGUGUGCGUGUCAUGUUGUGUACAUGUGUGUACAUACUGUGUGCAUAUGUGUGUGUGCAUGUCAUGGUGUGCAUGUGUGUACAUAUUGUGUGCGUGUGUGUGCAGGUGCAUAUGUGUCCUUGCAUUUGUUUAAGUGUUCUCUUGUUCACUCACUCAACAGUGGACUUUGCGUUGACACUUCUUGGUGCUUAAAGCCACAUGGACGGUUUCUUAACAGAAACUCAAAGAAUCAGUUGUGAGCCAUCCUGGGAGCAGCUCUUCCUAGCUAACCCACAUGGUCUCAAAUACUAGUUGGUUUUAAUCAUAUAUAAAUGCAAGCUCCACACAGCUGAGAUUCUGACUCACUUGUUUGGACACAAGGCCAAAAAAACUGGAAUGUUAACAAGCACUUGCCCCUCGGUGGUCCUGGGCCACCUCAGCAGAAGCUGAGCUCACAUGUUCUCAGGGAUUCGUUCAUGUCACAAGUCCUUUUCCACAACUCUUGCCACAGGGAAAGCCACAUCUGGCCCCUGCGUUCAAGCAGCCAGAGCCCAGUGCAGAGUGAGGCAGAAAAGGAACAAGGCCCUGUGAUGGAGCAAAACCUGGGAGCAGACGAGACCCUGCCUCAGCUGCCAUGACGCAGGGUGAUGCUCCAGGUCACCCAGGACAGAUGUCUGUGCAAAGACGGCCUCGAAGGUAAGUGAGUCUGGAGGUUGCCAAACAGCCUCCACAGCCCGGUGGGUGGAGUAGAGAGGACACGGCUCAGAGCUUUCAACUGGCGGAUCAGCCUCCACAGCCCGGCGGGUGGAGUAGAGAGGACAUGGCUCAGAGGUUUCAACUGGCUGAUCAUGGUGACUCACGCCUGUAAUCCCAACACUUUGGAAGGCCGAGGCAGGUAGAUCACCUGAGGUCAGGAGUUCAAGAUCAGCCUGGCCAACGUGGUGAAACCCCAUCUCUACUAAAAAUACAAAAAAUUAGCUGGGUGGGGUGGCAGGCACCUGUAAUCCCAGCCACUCGGGAGGUUGAGGCAGGAGAAUCACUUAAACCUGGGAGGCAGAGGUUGCAGUGAGCCAAGAUCGUGCCACUGCACUCCAAACUGGGCAACAGAGUGAGAUUCCACCUCAAAAAAAAAAAAAAA
ensembl:lncRNA